rnacentral:rRNA from 1 species
GACGAACGCUGGCGGCGUGCCUGACCCAUGCAAGUCGAACGAGUUUGCAGCAAUGCAGACGAGUGGCGGACGGGUGAGUAACACGUGAACAAUCUGCCCGGGACAGGGGGAUAACGUCGGGAAACUGACGCUAAUACCGCGUAAGACCACGAAGUCGCAUGGCUUUGAGGUAAAAGGAGCAAUCCGGUCCCGGAGGGGUUCGCGUCCCAUUAGGCAGUUGGCGGGGUAACGGCCCACCAAACCGACGAUGGGUAGCCGAGCUGAGAGGCUGAACGGCCACACUGGAACUGAGAUACGGUCCAGACUCCUACGGGAGGCAGCAGGGAGGAAUAUUGGGCAAUGGGGGAAACCCUGACCCAGCAACGCCGCGUGAAGGAUGAAGGCCUUCGGGUUGUAAACUUCUGUGACAGGGGACGAAAGAAAUGACGGUACCCUGAGAGGAAGCCACGGCAAACUACGUGCCAGCAGCCGCGGUAAUACGUAGGUGGCGAGCGUUGUCCGGAAUCACUGGGCGUAAAGGGCGCGUAGGCGGCGUUUCAAGUCGCAUGUGAAAAACCAGGGCUCAACCCUGGGGGGUCAUGCGAAACUGGAGUGCUUGAGUGCAGUAGAGGGAAGCGGAAUUCCUGGUGUAGCGGUAAAAUGCGUAGAGAUCAGGAGGAACACCGGUGGCGAAGGCGGCUUCCUGGGCUGCAACUGACGCUGAGGCGCGAAAGCGUGGGGAGCAAACAGGAUUAGAUACCCUGGUAGUCCACGCGGUAAACGAUGAUUACUAGGUGUGGGUAUCGCAGGAUAUCCGUGCCGGAGCAAACGCAAUAAGUAAUCCGCCUGGGGAGUACGGCCGCAAGGUUGAAACUCAAAGGAAUUGACGGGGGCCCGCACAAGCAGCGGAGCAUGUUGUUUAAUUCGAAGCAACGCGAAGAACCUUACCAGGGCUUGACAUCCACCGAAUCCGCUGGAAACAGUGGAGUGCCGCAAGGAACGGUGAGACAGGUGGUGCAUGGUUGUCGUCAGCUCGUGUCGUGAGAUGUUGGGUUAAGUCCCGCAACGAGCGCAACCCUUGCCGUCAGUUACCAGCGCGUUAAGGCGGGGACUCUGAUGGGACAGCCGGGGUAACCCGGAGGAAGGUGGGGACGACGUCAAAUCAUCAUGCUCCUUAUGUCCUGGGCUACAAACGUGCUACAAUGGCCGCAACAGAGGGAAGCUAGGGCGCGAGCCGGAGCGAAACCGAGAAAAGCGGUCCCAGUUCAGAUUGAGGGCUGCAACCCGCCCUCAUGAAGAUGGAGUUGCUAGUAAUCGCGAAUCAGCACGUCGCGGUGAAUACGUUCCCGGGCCUUGUACACACCGCCCGUCACACCAUGGGAAUUGGGAGCACCCGAAGCCUGUGAGCCAACCGCAAGGGGGCAGCAGUCGAAGGUGAGACCAGUGACUGGGGUG